UGUAUUACCCUUCUAUAGUAUUUGAUAUAAUAUAAAUAAAUGCUGUGCAUUUACUGAAGAAAAGUGAUUUCACUUCAUGGUAAGUAUAUUACGAUGACCUGGAUGAUAUUCUGCAUGGCUAUAAAUGUGAAAUUAAGGAUGAAUCCAAUGGAUAAGGUUCACAUGAUACAUAGCAUAAAUAUGAUCAUUUGGCUUUAAAGGAAUAUCCCAUAAAUACAGAAAUAACAAUAUGAAGAUAGAGGACUGGUUUAAAGAAAAACAAAAAAUUGAAAAGGGGAGACGGUAUCCAAUAGGCACCACAAAAAAUUCACUGAAAUGGGCAGUGGUACAUAUUUCGUACCGCAUUUACAUUGAUUUCCUCUAAUCCAUCCAAAUAAGCACACAAAACCAGCGUUAUCCAAUCCAUGCCCUUAUUGAAAAAUGGGAAAAACAUCAAGUCAUAAUUAUAUGCUCCAGACCACCAGAUAACCAUAAUGCGAUGUGCCAACAUCAUAACAUUAGGCAAGCUAUAAUCCGUAACUGAAAUAAAUCAGAAGCAAAUUCUAAAUUUUAAACUAUUUAAGGACACACAUGUUAAUUUUUAAGUAGGCACUAAUAGUAAUAGAGUAAAGUAAUAAAGUAAAAUGGUCUGAAAUUAAAUAUUCACGGAUACACAAUGAAAAUGUGAAAAAUUUAAGAUAUUUCAUACCAUGUUUUGUUCAUAGUGAUCGAAUAUUAUUGUUAUUGUAAAAUUUAUUAUUAAAGUUAUAAAAACUA
rnacentral:lncRNA from 1 species